UCGCAACGCAGCUCAAACCAACGCUGACAGAGCGCUGCAAGAAGCCUGCGAGAUCCAGAGCGAAGGUCCUCUCCUGGAACAGGUGCUGGAUCCAGCCAUCCAGCUCCUUCACAAUCACCUCCACACCUCGAACUUCCAGAGGUUCUUAUGGUACCUCUGGGAGGUUAUCAUUUCGCUGUUUAGUGAAACCGUGGACAGAAAUAUUGAGAGGAGGAAGGCUUCUUUCUUCAAAGGCGUCUAUGAUCUCUUAGAAGCCUCCCUCAAACGUUCUUCAGCCCUGACGAAGGGAUUGGCCUUGACCCUGAAGAGGCCCGUACCAAGGAAUACGCCGAGUUGCUGGAUUUCCUUGACAGCCUACGGAUGUCGACGGAGUCUCUGAUUGCAAAGUAUUACCAAGAACGACACGAUGAG